CCGAUGAUUGGGGUGAAGUCGUAACAAGGUAGCCGUAUCGGAAGGUGCGGCUGGAUCACCUCCUUU
rnacentral:ncRNA from 2 species